AGUUUUUGAUGAAUUUUUGAGCAACAUCUACAUUUUAACUCCAUUUUGAGACUCAGUAUAAACAUCAUAUAAUAUCUAUUCUUAUGACCAUUAAUGCUUACCUUUAAAAACACAUGAUUUAUUAAACAGUCAGCUCAUAUGAUCAUUUUCUACACAGUAAAGUCAGGACUGUCUUUACAUGUUCUAUUGCAGAGUAUCUGUUUGUACCUGCAGUAAACGUGUAGCUCUGCGGUACAGUUUGCUGUUGGUGACCUGCACGUCGAUCAUGUGAUUCUGGUAAAUCUUCCCCUUUAAGACGUGAGCUCCGGUGCUCACAGCGUUGAGCAGCAGCUUAGUGGACAGCUCCCACUGCUGAGAAAGAAGCAGAAUGGAUUUUCUCUCCUCUGCAUUUAUGUUGACUUGAAUAGGAGUGAAAUAGAAAACAUGAGAAAAGAAUCUGAAAAAUAGGAAUA